rnacentral:rRNA from 1 species
GCAGCAUAAUGGACUGGCAUGUGCUCGCUCUGGACAAUCUUAAUCUAAACNCCUGUGCACCUUUAGGGAGAGAGAGGGUUAUAUCCUUAAGUUUGCCCCCCCUUCCCUUUGUCGUUACACACUGGUUUUAUGAUGUUGGACGUGAUUGGGCCGUGAGGCCAUAAUAUUAUAAUACAACUUUUAACAACGGAUCUCUUGGCUCUCGCAUCGAUGAAGAACGCAGCGAAAUGCGAUAAGUAAUGUGAAUUGCAGAAUUCAGUGAAUCAUCGAAUCUUUGAACGCACCUUGCGCUCCCUGGUAUUCCGGGGAGCACGCCUGUUCGAGUGUCGUGAAUGUCUCAAGCCAGAUGCUUUUUUCUGGCUUGGUUUAUUGGGCUUUGCGGUUCCUUUUGGUUGGGACGGCUGGCCUUAAAAGUAUCAGCUGGCCUUCAUGUGGGGAUUGGUUCUACUCAGCGUGAUAAAUUAGUAAUCUGACCGCCGAGGACGUCUUUCGGGAUGGCCAAAUCUCAUCUGGGCUGCUUCUAAUAUAGCUGGUUUAACAGAUUCUGAAUCUGUUUUACGGCUCCUUUCAGCUUUGACCUCGAAUCANGUGGGGCUACCCG